GCUAGUAAUCGCAGAUCAGCAUGCUGCGGUGAAUACGUUCCCGGGCCUUGUAUACACCGCCCGUCACACCAUGGGAGUCGGUAACACCCAAAGUUGGUAGCCUAACCGCAAGGAGGGCGCCGCCUAAGGUGGGAUUGAUGACUGGGGUNAAGUCGUAACAAGGUAUC
rnacentral:rRNA from 1 species